rnacentral:tRNA from 1 species
UUGUGGCUCAGCGGUAGAGCGCUCACCUAGUACGUGUGGGGCACUGAGUUCAAUCCUCAGUAA